rnacentral:rRNA from 1 species
UAAUACCAGCCCCUCGAGUGGUAGGGACGAUUAUUUAGCCUAAAGCGUUCGUAGCCGGCUUAGCAAGUCCCUCGUGAAAUCCGAUGACUUAAUCGUCGGGCGUGCGUAGGAUACUGUUAAGCUUGGGGACGGGAGAAGUCGACGGUAGUCCCGGUGUAGGGGUGAAAUCCUAUAAUCCCGGGAGGACCACCAGUGGCGAAGGCGGUCGACUAGAACGCGCCCGACGGUGAUGGACGAAAGCUGGGGGAGCGAACCGGAUUAGAUACCCGGGUAGUCCCAGCUGUAAACGAUGCUGGCUAGGUGUUGGGGCAGCCACGAGCUGCUCCAGUGCCGCAGGGAAGCUCUUAAGCCAGCCGCUUGGGAAGUACGGUCGCAAGGCUG